UAAAAGUCCUACAUUGUGCUGCAGCUUUGGGAAUCACCAAAUCUUUUAAACCUGAAUGAUAUGGAGAAAUUACAUCUAGGAGGAUGUAAGACCCUCGCGCACUUGUCUGGUAUCGAGAGGUUCAAAUCUUUAAUGCAGUUAAUAUUGACCACCCGCGACGGCUUGAGCCGUGACCUGGGGGGCAAAUUAUCACAGCCCACUUUUGAACGGCUGGGAGAACUCUUUAUUUCGGGAUCAAACGGUGGUUCCGACUUGUUGUUUGGGCUUCCAAAAGCCGGCCAAGUCGAUCGACUGGUGGGGAUGUUUUGCCUGGCCGACGAGCCGCCGGCGAACAGAUACACGUUAACGUCCGCAUCCAAGUCCAGGUAGAAGGAAAGAUCGUCACCGAAGGCACAUGGAUAGCGGAAAGAACGAUAGGCGACGUUGAAUUCAUGGGGAAGUUCGGGGAGGAUGGCGAGGGUUCUUAUGAGAUUGGGUUGGGGAAAGAUGAGGAGAUAAGCAGGUAGGUACUCGAGGAAGGACACGCGGUCUUGAGGGUUCCAACCAUUUACAACGAUUAGCAGUUGAAGAUGGAAUAUUGUACGUGUGUAAAAGUGGUGUGUUUCUGAUCUGAGACUUGUCCUGUUCAGUACUGAUUUAGUUCCAUGACGAACACUUGAAUCGUACCAAGGAGAAGAAAGGUCCAACACUUGGCUUUGUUUAUGGUUUUGUCUUCUCAUUUUGUUCCAGCUGCAAUGAUGUUGUCUACCCUAUUUUGCAAAAACCUAACGUGUUCCUCCUGCAACUAAUGAGAGUAGCACACGUUUGGAAUCAGAUCCCAAAAUUUAAAGUGGUGAAGAAGACUCCUUUACUUCUUUUUCCUUUGGAACAUCGAUGAACUUGAAAUAACAAGUAUGGUCAGAGGCAUAAGUCGGGACCAUUGGCGGCCGAGAGCGGGGAUACCGGAUACAGACCACUUUUUAUUUAAAAAAAAUUGAAGGCUAUGACUAAUAAUAAUUGAAAAUUAUUAAAGCUUCGACUAAGUAAAAAACAGAGUGCCUUAAUUCAUAACCGUAUUAGCAAAAUGUCGGCCAUAUACUCCACAAUGGGAUACAAUAUGACAACUAUUGAUGACUUUUGUAAGUGCACAGACCUAGUAAUUUGUCAAAUACAAAUUUCAUUAGGGAUUUUACUUUAAUGAGUUGAGUCUGUGUCGAUCAACGUUUAUAAAUCCAAGCAUGGAGGCACGGCAGAAAACCAAAACAGCUGCAGAAAUGAAUGAUCAUGGGGGUGCAAAAAUCGUAGAUACCUUUUCAGCAUGUGAAUUGGUAGAUUUUAUUAUCUGCGGACGUUGGAAGGCAGCUGGUGGUAAAGGGGAUUGUUUCUUAAAAAACGCAACUAUGAAGCGCGCAAAUGUGCAGACCGGCCAUCAUGUUCCAACAUUCUAACUGUACAAACUUAGAUUCCACCGCCUGUGCAGCGGAUGAUGAAGACAGUUGCUGCUGAAGUUCGAACUUCAAAGAUAAGUAUAAAUCCUGGCUUUAUCUGUCCAUAACUCUUAGCUCCAGACUGCCA